UACGGAGGGUGCAAGCGUUAUCCGGAUUCACUGGGUUUAAAGGGUGCGUAGGCGGAUAGGUAAGUCCGUGGUGAAAUCCUGCAGCUUAACUGCAGAACUGCCGUGGAUACUAUCUAUCUUGAAUGUCGUGGAGGUUAGCGGAAUAUGUCAUGUAGCGGUGAAAUGCUUAGAUAUGACAUAGAACACCCAUUGCGAAGGCAGCUAACUACGCGAUAAUUGACGCUGAUGCACGAAAGCGUGGGGAUCGAAACAGG
rnacentral:rRNA from 1 species